AUACUGCAAAAUUUCUUAUUUAGUAUCUUGUUGAAAAGAGUUUGUUUUCCCCUAUCCUUGGAGAGUUUGUGGUUCUUCGAAAUAGUUAUUGUUUCCAUGGAGAUUAUGUUGAUGAACUCAGUGACCCAAAUAGCUGAUAUAUUCUUUGUUGCUGGUUGCUUUUACAACAAAAAGAUUUCCACCCAACAUCAAUAGCAAUGGAAGCAUUUGCCUUGAUAUUCUUAAAGGUACAAUCAUGCUACAUGUGCAUCAUUCUGUACAUCUUGGUUUGUAUUCUUCCUCAUGGAACCAUUUUCCUUAGAUUUUCCCCUCAAUCUUUCAAAUCACUGCCCAUAUUGUGCUACAUAGUGGGAAUGUCAUCCAUGGUGCAAGGGAAAAUGUACAUCUAGCAUUAUUGAUCUAAGGUAAUUAAUUUUUUUUUUUUUGUUAUAAUAAUGAGAUGACAUCAUUUAGCUAUGUAACAGAUUACAAUGUAUGCUCGGGAUUCAUUUGGUUCUCGUUUGGUCAAUACACUAACUUGGUUCGGAAGACAAGAAAAAUAAAUCAGGGAUUUGGCUUGGGUUUUAGGUGAUUUUAAAAUUGGUAAUCAAAGUAAACUUAUUUUAUUACUUAGUUAUGAGAAAAAAUUGUUGGGUUGAAGUCACCAAAGUAAACAGCCAAUCCAAUAUGAUGAUCAUAAUUACAACACAUAUAAAAAAAACUUCUUUUAAUAUGUUGAGGAAUAUCCCUAUCAAUAAUUAUCUAGGAAAUGGCGACGUUCCACAUAUAGAAAUAAAUUCCCGAGUAUGAUCUUCUCUUACUUUUCUUUAAACCAUUUUCCAAGUUGCAUGCACAUGUUGGAUUGCCAUUAUCGUAUACGAUAGAUCUUCACAUUUCAUAUGUCAAUAUUAUCAAGUUUAGAUUCUCAAAAUUUAAACUCUCUCUCCAGAUAUACUAUUAUUACCCUUUGACUGCUCCUUUGGACCUUACUAAGGUUUACAAUAACAUCCAAUGGAAUAGCACAAAGGCCCAACACGUUGACGCAAUAAUUCAUAUAAGACGCAACUAGGUAAGUUCCUCAUUUCAAUUCCAUUAUGUCUUCUCAUUUCUUCAUGCACCUUAAAUGCUUCAUCUCUAUUUUCAAAGAGUAAAAUCAUAUGUAAAUUGACCACAUUAAAUUAAGUUCAUUUUCCUUACCUCAUCGAAUACUAAUUUUACCUUCAAAAUAACUCUGCCCGUGCACUGCACGAGCAACAAACUAGUUUAUACAUAAAAUUCGUGCAUGUAACACAAACCAACCCCCCCCCCCUCAAACGCAUAAUUUAAUUCAUUUUUAAAUAUGUAGUGAUAUCUAUUAUUUAACAAGAGCACGUGCCCAUUUAUUUUUAUUAUAAGAUAUAACAUGAAUCACCAAAAUCAUUUCAAAAUAAAUUUAGUACCUUAACAAGAGGCUUGAAAUGACAUCCAAGAAUUCCAAGAACGUAAAUCAGAAGUGGGUGGAAAAAAAUUUGUUACAUAUUUUCUUCGUGUGUUG
rnacentral:lncRNA from 1 species